CCUACGGGAGGCAGCAGUGAGGAAUAUUGGUCAAUGGGCGCGAGCCUGAACCAGCCAAGUCGCGUGAGGGAAGACGGUCCUAUGGAUUGUAAACCUCUUUUGUCGGGGAGCAAAAGACGCCACGCGUGGCGUUACGAGAGUACCCGAAGAAAAAGCAUCGGCUAACUCCGUGCCAGCAGCCGCGGUAAUACGGAGGAUGCGAGCGUUAUCCGGAUUUAUUGGGUUUAACGGGUGCGCAGGCGGAAGAUCAAGUCAGCGGUAAAAUUGAGAGGCUCAACCUCUUCGAGCCGUUGAAACUGGUUGGCUUGAGUGAGCGAGAGGUAUGCGGAAUGCGUGGUGUAGCGGUGAAAUGCAUAGAGAUCACGAAGAACUCCGAUUGCGAAGGCAGCAUACCGGCGCUCAACUGACGCUCAGGUACGAAAGUGUGGGUAUCGAACAGGAUUAGAUACCCCUGUAGUC
rnacentral:rRNA from 1 species